GAUGAACGCUGGCGGCGUGCCUAAUACAUGCAAGUCGAGCGAACAGACGAGGAGCUUGCUCCUCUGACGUUAGCGGCGGACGGGUGAGUAACACGUGGAUAACCUACCUAUAAGACUGGGAUAACUUCGGGAAACCGGAGCUAAUACCGGAUAAUAUAUUCAACCGCAUGGUUCAAUAGUGAAAGACGGUUUUGCUGUCACUUAUAGAUGGAUCCGCGCCGCAUUAGCUAGUUGGUAAGGUAACGGCUUACCAAGGCAACGAUGCGUAGCCGACCUGAGAGGGUGAUCGGCCACACUAGAACUGAGACACGGUCCAGACUCGUACGGGAGGCAGCCGUAGGGAAUCUUCCGCAAUGGGCGAAAGCCUGACGGAGCAACGCCGCGUGAGUGAUGAAGGUCUUCGGAUCGUAAAACUCUGUUAUUAGGGAAGAACAAAUGUGUAAGUAACUAUGCACGUCUUGACGGUACCUAAUCAGAACGCAACGGCUAACUACGUG
rnacentral:rRNA from 1 species